rnacentral:rRNA from 1 species
CACGUAGGGCGCAAGCGUUGUCCGGAAUUAUUGGGCGUAAAGAGCUCGUAGGCGGUCUGUUGCGUCUGCUGUGAAAACUCGGGGCUUAACCCCGAGCCUGCAGUGGAUACGGGCAGACUAGAGGUAGGUAGGGGAGAAUGGAAUUCCCGGUGUAGCGGUGAAAUGCGCAGAUAUCGGGAGGAACACCGGUGGCGAAGGCGGUUCUCUGGGACGGUACUGACGCUGAGACGCGAAAGCGUGGGGAGCGAACAGG